rnacentral:rRNA from 1 species
GACGAACGCUGGCGGCGUGCUUAACACAUGCAAGUCGAACGCUGAAGCUUGGUGCUUGCACUGGGUGGAUGAGUGGCGAACGGGUGAGUAAUACGUGAGUAACCUGCCCUUGACUCUGGGAUAAGCCUGGGAAACUGGGUCUAAUACUGGAUACGACAUGUCACCGCAUGGUGGUGUGUGGAAAGGGUUUUACUGGUUUUGGAUGGGCUCACGGCCUAUCAGCUUGUUGGUGGGGUAAUGGCUCACCAAGGCGACGACGGGUAGCCGGCCUGACAGGGUGACCGGCCACACUGGGACUGAGACACGGCCCAGACUCCUACGGGAGGCAGCAGUGGGGAAUAUUGCACAAUGGGCGAAAGCCUGAUGCAGCGACGCCGCGUGAGGGAUGACGGCCUUCGGGUUGUAAACCUCUUUCAGCACGGAAGAAGCGAAAGUGACGGUACGUGCAGAAGAAGCGCCGGCUAACUACGUG